CUGCUGUCCUCUUGGCCAACUUACUCUUACAAAAGACAUUUUUAAUGUUAAUGAGAUUUUUUUUUAACUGCAUAAAUAAAGGUUAUAUAAAAGUCACUAGCAAAAACUGAUUGCAGCUUCUACCUUGUUACACGAAUGUUGUUUGUGGCUCCAGGUGACUUUAUGUCAUCCAUGAGGGAUGCAUUUCACAUAUGUUUCACAUUUUAUAGCCCAACAAGUUACUUAUAGCAGUUUAAAUACGAGCAAUCAGUUUUUGGCAAAUACCGGAAAUCAGUUUUUGGCAGACAAUCACUUUUUGGCACAACACCGGCUACAACGGCUCCUUUCCGGCCUGCCCUGGCUAUUGGAGUCGCUUCCCCCGACCAUGCAGGCUUUUCUCCACCUCACACCACACCUUCUCUCCGCCACUACUACCUCGCUGCCCGACCCGCCGGAUGUGGUUUUGCCCGGUCCGUCGGAGCCGUCAGCGGGGAAAAAAACGACGAUCGCGCCGGCGCGCCACCCCACAGCCGGACGUUCGGGCUUUUAAAUCGCCGGCUGUGCUCGAGCUAAAAAGCUAAAAAGAAAUGACCUGAUCGUCUGUAACUCGAGUGCUGGAAGAAGAUGAUCAUCAAUCAACAUAUCACUGGGAUUAAAGCAAUAGUCUUACACUGAUCUUUUUAACCUUUAGUACCUCUCAGCAGCAUGAUGUUAGAUUUUAUAUGAAACUAACAUCAUAUAAACUGAACAGAAAACUGUCUCAUUUUUGCAUUUGAUGAGUUUUAUUUUUAAAGGACAAAAGAAUGAAUGUCACAAUGUUAAUAAGAAGCACUCCGAGAGCGCAAACCUUCACCAUGGCAGCUCACUCUCCAGGCAGUAUUUGCUGUUAGUAUUGUAUAUACAAAAUAGUAUAUUGUUUUUUAUAAACCCUACUUUGAGAGAUAUAUCAUGUACUUGUUUAUUAUAUGUGGUGUGUUGUGGUGUGUGUAUAUUACUGCUGUUUUAAAUAAAUCAAAAAAAUUAUACAUUGUUUCUUUUCUACUCUCUGUAAAAGGCAGUUUGUUACAUUACUCUUUUGUUACUCUGUAACCUGGC
ensembl:lncRNA